rnacentral:rRNA from 1 species
GACGAACGCUGGCGGCGUGCUUAACACAUGCAAGUCGAACGGAAAGGCCCUGCUUUUGUGGGGUGCUCGAGUGGCGAACGGGUGAGUAACACGUGAGUAACCUGCCCUUGACUUUGGGAUAACUUCAGGAAACUGGGGCUAAUACCGGAUAGGAGCUCCUGCUGCAUGGUGGGGGUUGGAAAGUUUCGGCGGUUGGGGAUGGACUCGCGGCUUAUCAGCUUGUUGGUGGGGUAGUGGCUUACCAAGGCUUUGACGGGUAGCCGGCCUGAGAGGGUGACCGGCCACAUUGGGACUGAGAUACGGCCCAGACUCCUACGGGAGGCAGCAGUGGGGAAUAUUGCACAAUGGGCGGAAGCCUGAUGCAGCAACGCCGCGUGCGGGUUGACGGCCUUCGGGUUGUAAACCGCUUUCGCCUGUGACGAAGUGUGAGUGACGGUAAUGGGUAAAGAAGCACCGGCUAACUACGUG